GACGAACGCUGGCGGCGUGCUUAACACAUGCAAGUCGAACGGAAAGGCCCUGCUUUUGUGGGGUGCUCGAGUGGCGAACGGGUGAGUAACACGUGAGUAACCUGCCCUUGACUUUGGGAUAACUUCAGGAAACUGGGGCUAAUACCGGAUAGGAGCUCCUGCUGCAUGGUGGGGGUUGGAAAGUUUCGGCGGUUGGGGAUGGACUCGCGGCUUAUCAGCUUGUUGGUGGGGUAGUGGCUUACCAAGGCUUUGACGGGUAGCCGGCCUGAGAGGGUGACCGGCCACAUUGGGACUGAGAUACGGCCCAGACUCCUACGGGAGGCAGCAGUGGGGAAUAUUGCACAAUGGGCGGAAGCCUGAUGCAGCAACGCCGCGUGCGGGAUGACGGCCUUCGGGUUGUAAACCGCUUUCGCCUGUGACGAAGCGUGAGUGACGGUAAUGGGUAAAGAAGCACCGGCUAACUACGUGCCAGCAGCCGCGGUGAUACGUAGGGUGCGAGCGUUGUCCGGAUUUAUUGGGCGUAAAGGGCUCGUAGGUGGUUGAUCGCGUCGGAAGUGUAAUCUUGGGGCUUAACCCUGAGCGUGCUUUCGAUACGGGUUGACUUGAGGAAGGUAGGGGAGAAUGGAAUCCCUGGUGGAGCGGUGGAAUGCGCAGAUAUCAGGAGGAACACCAGUGGCGAAGGCGGUUCUCUGGGCCUUUCCUGACGCUGAGGAGCGAAAGCGUGGGGAGCGAACAGGCUUAGAUACCCUGGUAGUCCACGCUGUAAACGGUGGGUACUAGGUGUGGGGUCCAUUCCACGGGUUCCGUGCCGUAGCUAACGCUUUAAGUACCCCGCCUGGGGAGUACGGCCGCAAGGCUAAAACUCAAAGGAAUUGACGGGGCCCCGCACAAGCGGCGGAGCAUGCGGAUUAAUUCGAUGCAACGCGUAGAACCUUACCUGGGUUUGACAUGGAUCGGGAGUGCUCAGAGAUGGGUGUGCCUCUUUUGGGGUCGGUUCACAGGUGGUGCAUGCCUGUCGUCAGCUCGUGUCGUGAGAUGUUGGGUUAAGUCCCGCAACGAGCGCAACCCUUGUUCACUGUUGCCAGCACGUUAUGGUGGGGACUCAGUGGAGACCGCCGGGGUCAACUCGGAGGAAGGUGGGGAUGACGUCAAGUCAUCAUGCCCCUUAUGUCCAGGGCUUCACGCAUGCUACAAUGGCUGGUACAGAGAGUGGCGAGCCUGUGAGGGUGAGCGAAUCUCGGAAAGCCGGUCUCAGUUCGGAUUGGGGUCUGCAACUCGACCUCAUGAAGUCGGAGUCGCUAGUAAUCGCAGAUCAGCAACGCUGCGGUGAAUACGUUCCCGGGGCU
rnacentral:rRNA from 1 species